GACGAACGUUGGCGGCGUGCUUAACACAUGCAAGUCGAACGGAAAGGCCCUGCUUUUGUGGGGUGCUCGAGUGGCGAACGGGUGAGUAACACGUGAGUAACCUGCCCUUGACUUUGGGAUAACUUCAGGAAACUGGGGCUAAUACCGGAUAGGAGCUCCUGCUGCAUGGUGGGGGUUGGAAAGUUUCGGCGGUUGGGGAUGGACUCGCGGCUUAUCAGCUUGUUGGUGGGGUAGUGGCUUACCAAGGCUUUGACGGGUAGCCGGCCUGAGAGGGUGACCGGCCACAUUGGGACUGAGAUACGGCCCAGACUCCUACGGGAGGCAGCAGUGGGGAAUAUUGCACAAUGGGCGGAAGCCUGAUGCAGCAACGCCGCGUGCGGGAUGACGGCCUUCGGGUUGUAAACCGCUUUCGCCUGUGACGAAGCGUGAGUGACGGUAAUGGGUAAAGAAGCACCGGCUAACUACGUGCCAGCAGCCGCGGUGAUACGUAGGGUGCGAGCGUUGUCCGGAUUUAUUGGGCGUAAAGGGCUCGUAGGUGGUUGAUCGCGUCGGAAGUGUAAUCUUGGGGCUUAACCCUGAGCGUGCUUUCGAUACGGGUUGACUUGAGGAAGGUAGGGGAGAAUGGAAUUCCUGGUGGAGCGGUGGAAUGCGCAGAUAUCAGGAGGAACACCAGUGGCGAAGGCGGUUCUCUGGGCCUUUCCUGACGCUGAGGAGCGAAAGCGUGGGGAGCGAACAGGCUUAGACACCCUGGUAGUCCACGCUGUAAACGGUGGGUACUAGGUGUGGGGUCCAUUCCACGGGUUCCGUGCCGUAGCUAACGCUUUAAGUACCCCGCCUGGGGAGUACGGCCGCAAGGCUAAAACUCAAAGGAAUUGACGGGGCCCCGCACAAGCGGCGGAGCAUGCGGAUUAAUUCGAUGCAACGCGUAGAACCUUACCUGGGUUUGACAUGGAUCGGGAGUGCUCAGAGAUGGGUGUGCCUCUUUUGGGGUCGGUUCACAGGUGGUGCAUGCCUGUCGUCAGCUCGUGUCGUGAGAUGUUGGGUUAAGUCCCGCAACGAGCGCAACCCUUGUUCACUGUUGCCAGCACGUUAUGGUGGGGACUCAGUGGAGACCGCCGGGGUCAACUCGGAGGAAGGUGGGGAUGACGUCAAGUCCUCAUGCCCCUUAUGUCCAGGGCUUCACGCAUGCUACAAUGGCUGGUACAGAGAGUGGCGAGCCUGUGAGGGUGAGCGAAUCUCGGAAAGCCGGUCUCAGUUCGGAUUGGGGUCUGCAACUCGACCUCAUGAAGUCGGAGUCGCUAGUAAUCGCAAAUCAGCAACGCUGCGGUGAAUACGUUCCCGGG
rnacentral:rRNA from 1 species